rnacentral:rRNA from 1 species
AACGAACGCUGGCGGCGUGCCUAACACAUGCAAGUCGCACGAGAAAGCGGGCUUCGGCCCGCCGGUAAAGUGGCAGACGGGUGAGUAACACGUGGUAACCUCCCCAGAGGUGGGGGAUAACCCUCCGAAAGGAGGGCUAAUACCGCAUGAUAUCGCGAGGGCCUCGGCUCUUGCGAUCAAAGCUAGCCUCUACUCGUAAGCUAGCGCCACUGGAUGGACCCGCGCCCCAUUAGCUAGUUGGUGAGGUAAUGGCUCACCAAGGCUCCGAUGGGUAGCCGGCCUGAGAGGGUGUCCGGCCACACUGGAACUGAGACACGGUCCAGACUCCUACGGGAGGCAGCAGUGAGGAAUCUUGCGCAAUGGGCGAAAGCCUGACGCAGCGACGCCGCGUGGAGGACGAAGGUCUUCGGAUCGUAAACUCCUGUCAAGCGGGACGAAAUCUGCAGGGAUGAAUAAGCCCUGCGGUUGACGGUACCGCUGGAGGAAGCCCCGGCUAACU